rnacentral:tRNA from 1 species
GGUGGCUCAGUGGUAGAGUGCUUGCUUUGUAUGCAUGAGGUUCUGGGUUUGAUUCCUCAGCACCA